rnacentral:rRNA from 1 species
UACGAACUGUGCGAACGUUAUUCGGAAUCACUGGGCUUAAAGGGUGCGUAGGCGGCUCUUCAAGCAGGGCGUGAAAUGCCCCGGCUCAACCGGGGCGCUGCGUUCUGGACUGUCGGGCUCGAGCGGGACAGGGGUGUGCGGAACUUCCGGUGGAGCGGUGAAAUGCGUUGAUAUCGGAAGGAACACCGGUGGCGAAAGCGGCACACUGGGUCUCGACUGACGCUGAGGCACGAAAGCCAGGGGAGCGAACGGG